UACGUAGGUCCCGAGCGUUGUCCGGAUUUAUUGGGCGUAAAGCGAGCGCAGGUGGUUUAUUAAGUUUGGUGUAAAAGGCAGUGGCCCAACCAUUGUAUGCAUUGGAAACUGGUAGACUUGAGUGCAGGAGAGGAGAGUGGAAUUCCAUGUGUAGCGGUGAAAUGCGUAGAUAUAUGGAGGAACACCGGUGGCGAAAGCGGCUCUCUGGCCUGUAACUGACACUGAGGCUCGAAAGCGUGGGGAGCAAACAAG
rnacentral:rRNA from 1 species